rnacentral:rRNA from 1 species
GUGGGGAAUUUUGGACAAUGGGCGCAAGCCUGAUCCAGCAAUGCCGCGUGCAGGAAGAAGGCCUUCGGGUUGUAAACUGCUUUUGUACGGAACGAAACGGUCCGGGUUAAUACCCUGGGCUAAUGACGGUACCGUAAGAAUAAGCACCGGCUAACUACGUGCCAGCAGCCGCGGUAAUACGUAGGGUGCAAGCGUUAAUCGGAAUUACUGGGCGUAAAGCGUGCGCAGGCGGUUUUGUAAGACAGGCGUGAAAUCCCCGGGCUCAACCUGGGAAUUGCGCUUGUGACUGAAAGGCUGGAGUGCGGCAGAGGGGGAUGGAAUUCCGCGUGUAGCAGUGAAAUGCGUAGAUAUGCGGAGGAACACCGAUGGCGAAGGCAAUCCCCUGGGCCUGCACUGACGCUCAUGCACGAAAGCGUGGGGAGCAAACAGGAUUAGAAACCCGUGUAGUCC